rnacentral:tRNA from 1 species
GGGGCCAUGGUGUAGCCUGGUCUAAUCUACUUCCUUUCGUGGAAGUGAUGCCAAAAGCAUCGGAGCUUUGGGAGCUUCAGACCUGAGUUCAAAUCUCAGUGGCCCCA